AGAGCUCGUAGGCGGUUUGUCGCGUCUGCUGUGAAAACCCGAGGCUCAACCUCGGGCCUGCAGUGGGUACGGGCAGACUAGAGUGCGGUAGGGGAGAUUGGAAUUCCUGGUGUAGCGGUGGAAUGCGCAGAUAUCAGGAGGAACACCAAUGGCGAAGGCAGAUCUCUGGGCCGUAACUGACGCUGAGGAGCGAAAGCAUGGGGAGCAAACAGGAUUAGAUACCCUGGUAGUCCAUGCCGUAAACGUUGGGAACUAGAUGUGGGGACCAUUCCACGGUCUCCGUGUCGCAGCUAACGCAUUAAGUUCCCCGCCUGGGGAGUACGGCCGCAUGGCUAAAACUCAAAGGAAUUGACGGGGGCCCGCACAAGCGGCGGAGCAUGCGGAUUAAUUCGAUGCAACGCGAAGAACCUUACCAAGGCUUGACAUAUACCGGAAACGGCUGGAAACAGUCGCCCCGCAAGGUCGGUAUACAGGUGGUGCAUGGUUGUCGUCAGCUCGUGUCGUGAGAUGUUGGGUUAAGUCCCGCAACGAGCGCAACCCUCGUCCUAUGUUGCCAGCACGUAAUGGUGGGAACUCAUGGGAUACUGCCGGGGUCAACUCGGAGGAGGGUGGGGAUGACGUCAAAUCAUCAUGCCCUUUAUGUCUUGGGCUUCACGCAUGCUACAAUGGCCGGUACAAAGGGCUGCGAUACCGCAAGGUGGAGCGUAUCCCAAAAAGCCGGUCUCAGUUCGGAUUGAGGUCUGCAACUCGACCUCAUGAAGUCGGAGUCGCUAGUAAUCGCAGAUCAGCAACGCUGCGGUGAAUAC
rnacentral:rRNA from 1 species